UGUUACCUACGGGGGGCAGCAGUGAGGAAUAUUGGUCAAUGGGCGCAAGCCUGAACCAGCCAAGUCGCGUGAGGGAAGACGGCCCUACGGGUUGUAAACCUCUUUUGCCGGGGAGCAAGCCUGAGCACGUGUGCCCAGGCGGAGAGUACCCGGAGAAAAAGCAUCGGCUAACUCCGUGCCAGCAGCCGCGGUAAUACGGAGGAUGCGAGCGUUAUCCGGAUUUAUUGGGUUUAAAGGGUGCGCAGGCGGGCUGUUAAGCCGGCGGUAAAAAUUAAGGGCUCAACCCCGUCUAGCCUGCGGAACUG
rnacentral:rRNA from 1 species